GACGAACGCUGGCGGCGUGCUUAACACGUGCAAGUCGAACGGGUCUGCCCUGUUUUUUGCGGGGUGGGUCAGUGGCGAACGGGUGAGUAACACGUGAGUAACCUGCCCCUCACUUCUGGAUAACCGCUUGAAAGGGUGGCUAAUACGGGGUGUUCUGGCUGUGCCGCAUGGUGUGGCUGGGAAAGAUUCACUUUUGUGGUGUUUUGGUGGGGGAUGGGCUCGCGGCCUAUCAGCUUGUUGGUGGGGUGAUGGCCUGCCAAGGCUUUGACGGGUAGCCGGCCUGAGAGGGUGGGCGGUCACACUGGGACUGAGAUACGGCCCAGACUCCUGCGGGAGGCAGCAGUGGGGGGUAUUGCACAAUGGGCGGAAGCCUGAUGCAGCGACGUCGCGUGAGGGAUGGAGGCCUUCGGGUUGUGAACCUCUUUCGCCGGUGAAGAAGGUCCUGCUCUUUGUGGUGGGGUUGACGGUAGCCGGGUUAUGAAGCGCCGGCUAACUACGUG
rnacentral:rRNA from 1 species